GAUGAACGCUGGCGGCGUGCUUAACACAUGCAAGUCGAACGAAGCAUUUGCGACAGAUUUUUUCGGAAUGAAGUUGCUUAUUACUUAGUGGCGGACUGGUGAGUAACGCGUGGGUAACCUGCCUUUUACUGGGGGAUAGCAGCUGGAAACGGCUGGUAAUACCGCAUAAGCGCACAAUGUUGCAUGACAUGGUGUGAAAAACUCCGGUGGUAUAAGAUGGACCCGCGUCUGAUUAGCUAGUUGGUGAGAUAACAGCCCACCAAGGCGACGAUCAGUAGCCGACCUGAGAGGGUGACCGGCCACAUUGGGACUGAGACACGGCCCAGACUCCUACGGGAGGCAGCAGUGGGGAAUAUUGCACAAUGGAGGAAACUCUGAUGCAGCGACGCCGCGUGAGUGAAGAAGUAAUUCGUUAUGUAAAGCUCUAUCAGCAGGGAAGAUAGUGACGGUACCUGACGAAGAAGCUCCGGCUAAAUACGUG
rnacentral:rRNA from 1 species